UAUGUAUGCACGGGCCCCAUGUGUUACAAGGUUGAGGGCCAAGGUCACGCCACCUCGUCCUGUAAUCCCGGGUUGUGUAGUAGAACUCUUGUUGUUGUACCUCUUGGCAUUGUGUUCCACAGAUGCUCAUCAGCUUCAGAAAAUCAACAAGAAAAGGUCAAAAUCAGGGAAAGGUACGAAGAUAGAAGCAGCAAGAAAUAUUAAUUGCGAUUGGUAAUAAUUUCCAUAUCAUAUCUUGAAAACAAAAUUUAUCAAACUUUCUUCUACGAGUUCAGUAAUGAACCAGUCCAAGGUAGUUUGCCUAAAAAAAUAAGAAACUUUUCUUCUAUACCCUCUGAAUAUCGCUAUAUUCAUGGUAAUAACGCCAGCCGUAUAUGUGCGUAUAUCUCCAUUUGCAGUGCCCUCCAACAUACCACACAAAACCUCCCAGUUAAAAUAGAAAUCAUAAUUAUUUCCCAAGAAAACCAUUCUUUUUGUGUAAUGCUCUCCUCUUCCACACAUAAAAUAAGAUUAUCAUCCGAAUCAAGUGCGUUUAAUGUCGAUUGAUGUACAUUGUUGGGCCUUCGGUGUAUCUAUAUGUUGUUCCAAUGAUUUUCAUGCUCUUACAGUACAAAUCUCAUAAAGCUUCACGGAUAACAAUUCAUCUCCGUCAGACCGUUCUCUGAUACCAAGGGACGUAGAUACAAGUGAGAAAGAAUGUAGCUAGUGACGAAUUUGUGGAGAAUGGCCAACAAUCAAAGAAAAGAAGAGAGAGGUUGAGAUAAGAGUGGCUGAAUUGAAUGACACGUGUGGCAAAAAUAGAACAGAUGUAAUUGUAAGGGAUUAACAAAUGGUUAUCCAAGUUUUGUUCGGACAGAAUCCAAUUCAAGCCAAAGUCAGGAUAGACAUACAGAAGCAAA
rnacentral:lncRNA from 1 species